GCUCAGGACGAACGCUGGCGGCGUGCCUAAUACAUGCAAGUCGAGCGGACUUGAUGGAGUGCUUGCACUCCUGAUGGUUAGCGGCGGACGGGUGAGUAACACGUAGGCAACCUGCCCUCAAGACUGGGAUAACUACCGGAAACGGUAGCUAAUACCGGAUAAUUUAUUUCACAGCAUUGUGGAAUAAUGAAAGACGGAGCAAUCUGUCACUUGGGGAUGGGCCUGCGGCGCAUUAGCUAGUUGGUGGGGUAAUGGCUCACCAAGGCGACGAUGCGUAGCCGACCUGAGAGGGUGAACGGCCACACUGGGACUGAGACACGGCCCAGACUCCUACGGGAGGCAGCAGUAGGGAAUCUUCCGCAAUGGGCGAAAGCCUGACGGAGCAACGCCGCGUGAGUGAUGAAG
rnacentral:rRNA from 1 species